rnacentral:lncRNA from 1 species
AAGCAUACAUAUGAUCUCUUAUGAUUUGGUUUACAUUCACAGAGAGACACAUGCAUGCUGCCACAACAUUAAAUAACACACAGCAUUGAAGAGCAAGAGCAAAGAAUAGUGAUUCAAUGCUAGGAAGCUGUAAAGAUGAUGAGAAUGCAAGAAAACACAGAGAAGAGAUCCUCUCUUAUUCAAUCAGCAAUAAGAUAAGAGAUGGUUUAGGCAUGGUUGUUGUUCUCCUCCACUGGAGGGUGCUUCUUGUAUGGUGGCUUUUUGUAUGGUGGCUUGUAAUAUGGUGGUUUAUGCUUGUAAACUGGUGGCUUGUAAAUAGGAUGCUUAUAGACUGGAGGCUUGUAAAUAGGAUGCUUCUUAAUGGGUUUGUAAUAAGUGGCCAAACCUUGAGGAAUGAGGAUAAGAGCAGCAAGAAGUAACACCAGAAAGGAUAAAAAGGAAGCCAUGAUUAGGGUUGGA